GCCAUUUUGGGAGGGCAAUUGUGUUUUUGUGGGAGGUGUUAGUAAUAGUCUUCUUCUUAUUAUUAUUAUUUUUGCCUUUUAUAUGGGGAAUUUUGAAAGCCACCGUAGACCCAAGCGUCAGUAUAUUAAUGUCUACACAGCUGUCGCCUAAUACAUGACAUGUACACUCUCUGGAAUGACAGUCUCAGUGAGUCUCUCGGUUACAGUUCAACAAUGAAUGAGGAAAAUGGCACAAGAUUCAGCGGGGAAAGACAUCACACAGACAGAAUGAGAACCACUCGACACACGAAGAUGUGCAGGAAUAGGUUAAAACGGGACCUUGCAUUGAUCUUUUGCUGAUGCAACCAAGUGUGAUGACGUGGUCCUGGCCGGAAUCAAGGAUUACAGCACCAGACUUUGGGUUUUGGUUUGACUUAAGCGUGAAAUAUCUAUAGCAUCAUGCUAAAACACUAGCCAAAAUGUUGCGCGUUCUUGGAAUUAACUAGUGUCACCUUUUGUCACCAGGCAUUGUUAAACAGGUGAGAACCCGUGAUUACCAUAAACUAGGUAACGGGCACAAGUUUGGCAUUUCUGAAUGUAAGGGAGUGGAAAAAUGGCAAAAUACGCUCAGUUAAGCAAAGAGAAAAGACAGUCUGUCAUUAAUUUGAGGAAAGAAGGUAAAUCUUUACGACAAAUUGCAAGGACUUUGGAAGUGUCUGUCACUGCCGUGGCGAAGACCAUUAAACGAGUUGAGGAAACGGGCACCAUCGAGGACAGAACGCGGUCAGGCAGGCCAAAGGUGACCUCGAAAUCAGAGAACAAGUUCAUUCGAGUCACAAGUCUACGAAAUCGGCGGUUAACUGCCACGGAAAUACAAGCUCAGCUGAACGCUACCAGAAGUACGUUUGUUUCAACGUCAACUGUUCAGAGGAGGUUGCGUGAAGCUGGUCUUGGGGGAAGAGCUGGCACAAAGAAACCAGCAAAGAGACUGGACAAUUCGCAUAAGGAUGCGGUGGAAACUGGAGAUAUGCAGGAGCCACAAAACCAACAAGAUGACAGUGUGAGUCAUGGCUAAUGACAACAUGAACCUUGUAAAAACUUCCAGAAGGGUAACUUGUCGGUGUUUGGAGACCUGCAAUUGCCUGUGAGCAAAAUAAGCACUGGAAAGUUCUGGCUCUAGCCAAAGAGACUGUAUUUGAAUUCCAUGUUUUUCCUCAGCUUAGUGCAGAGAGACUCUUCCCAUCCUGGGUCCCCCAUGGAAUCUAGCAGAACCCAGUGUACAGUUGAAUAAAUUCCUCUCCGAAGUAGAUGGGGGUGACAGUGAGCAAUUUGCUUUUAAAAUGUUAAUGUUCCAUGAAUUUCUUCAUGGACAUCAGGAAUCAUUAAUAACUGAAUCUUUAUCAAAAGUUGAGUGUAAAAAGAUAUGCAAGAUCUGUUACUUUUGUACAUUUUGGAAGACGUGGCAGAAACAUCUCCCAUCAUUAGCAAAAUACAGUUCCUUGUGUAAGUAUUCAAAGCCUUUUGCUCCAAAGCUUAAAGUGGCAAAUUGUUCCAAAACAACUUAUUUCCCUCUUAUUUGAACAUAACUAAAUAAGGAAUUUCUCUAAGUGAGCUAUUAAUGGACACAUUUUCUGGAUGUAAAAAUCACUCAGCUUGGCUGUGAACCUACUGUACAAAUGAGGGCUAAAGCUCCUACCACAAAUGUAUAAGAUAGUGAUGCAAUUGCAUAAAUCAGGAAAAGGGUACAGAAAAAAAUCUCAGAAGUGUUUGGAUGUCCUAGUGAGCACUAUUAGAUCUAUCAUCAGGAAGUGGAAGGUGCAUCACGCCACUCAGUUGCUGUGUGAAGAAGGCCGUCCCUCAAAACUUAGCACCCAAGCAAGAUGUGAGCUCGUAAGGGAAGGAACAAAGAUGCCAGUCAUCACUACUGUAGAAGUUCGUUGCUGAAACUUGUGUACAUGUGCAUGAGUCCACAAUAUCAUAACACUGGGCUAUUUGGAAGGGAGGAGGUGUGGUGGCACAGCUGGCUUGGCCAGGUCCCACUCUCUGGUGAGCCUGGGGUUCAAUUCCUGCUUGGGGUGCCCUGCAGCACUGGUGUGUCCCUUCCAGCCUUGCUUUCUUUGUUGCCAGGUUAGGCUCUGGUUUGCAGUGACCCCGCUCAGGACAAGCAACUUUGGACAGUGUGGAAGGGUGGCAAGAAAGUAGCCAUUACUCAGGAACACGCAUAAAAGGUACAUCUUGAGUUUGCCAUAAUGCAGUAGAGGGACCCAGCUCAGAUAUCAGAAGAGAUGUUAUUCUCAAAUGAAACCGAGAUGGAACUUUUCAGCCAGAAUUCAAAUUGUUAUGUAUGGCGCAAACCUAACACUGCGUAUGCCUCAAAAAAACACCAUCCCUCACUGAAAUAUGGUGGUGGCAGCAUAAUGGUGUGGGGAUGCUUUUCAUCUGGAGGGCCUACAUUUUUAUUUAUUUUGCUGACACUUUUCUCUAAAGCUAUUUACAAUGUUAAGGUUACAAUUAUAAGCUUACAGUUGCCUAUCCACUUAUGUAGCUGGGUUUUUAUUACAGGAGUAAUUUAGGGGAAGUACUAUGCUGAAAGGUAUCAUAGCCAGAGAGAGGGAUCAAACCUGCAACCUUUGGAUUCUAAGGUAGCAGCUCUAACCCCUACACUGCCAGCUGUCCCUGCUAGAAAGCUUGUUAAAAUUGAUGGAAGAAUGGAUGGAACCAAAUACAAAGAAAUAAUGGAGGAGAACCUGUUCCAUUUGGCUUGGAAACUGAGGUGUGGGAAAAGGUUCCAGCAUGACAACAAUCCCAAGCAUAAGGCUAAGGCAACACUACAGUGGCUCACAAAGGGGGGAAAAAAAGGGGAAUGUUUUACAAAGGCCUAGUCAAAGUCCUGGUCUUAACUUUAUUGAGGAUCUGUGGCACUCUUUGAAAAGUGCAGUUCAAAAGCACCAUCUAGCCAGCUUGAAUGAUCUGCAGAAAUUCUGCUGGGAAGAAUGGUACAAAAUCACUCCAAAGCAUUUUGCAAAGCUAAUUCAGUCUCACCCCAAAAGACUUAAGGUUGUUACUGUUGCAGAAGGAGGCAUAUUAAUGUGUGUGAGUUGAAUACUUAUACAAGCAGCAUUUUGCAGUAUUUUUGCUUUAAAUCUUUUGACACAUUUCUUUGGUGUUGAAAAUAAACUGAAUGCUUAGGUUUUUAAUAAAAAUACUUAUUGGAAGAAUAUGUGCAUGUAUCUUUUGAAAUCCAUAAAAUUCUACUAAAGGGGCUUGAAUGCUUUCCAAGGUACUGUAUUUGUAUACAGAGCUAAAGAUGAGGUAUUUGUCAGAAACAACACCACAGCCCAGGUGUCUCACAGCCUCUUUUAGAUAAAAACACAUCACGUGUUAAAAAUAUUUGUUUCAUGAGAGACCUUUUCUUUAAAGACCUUUUCAUAAAUAAGCUAAAUCAAAAUGUUCUCUAGGUACAGUAAAGCAUCUGUAAAUUUGUCAACUCCAUACUAUGUCCACACUUUGUCUUUUACAGCUGAGUGUGUAUGUUUUUUCUUUAAUCUGUUUUAGGAAAUCAGGUUUGAUGAAUAUACUCUUCAUUAAAUCUUCACUCACCCUAGGGUUUCUGAUGUAGUUUCUUUCCUGGUCUUGGAGGCAGAUUCCAUCACAACACCUUGGCCAAAGUACUUACCUUGACAGAGUAAAAAUUACCCAGCUGUAUAAAUAGGUUCAAACACACAACCUUUGAGUCCAGAAGCAGGCCAUUGCUGAAUGAAACCUUACACUUGGUGACUUCCUGGUUGUGACACAGCCAUUUGAAAAAUAUAUUAAACUUAUGAAGAAGUAAAAAAAAAAAAACCUAGCAGACCUUGAAGAAAGCAGAAGAGGGGCUCUUUGAAUAUGAAAAGUGUGUCAUGCCUACCAUGUCCACCAGGUGGCGACAGGAACCAAGGCCUGUUCCUAGUUUGGAAUUGUUGUAAAUCCACCCAGUGUCGCAGUCUGUGUCUGUCUAAUAAUGGAUCUUUAUCCCUGAAUGCAUUCAGAGAUUAGAUAGUGUUAAAAAGAUCAGAUAGAGCGAUCAUGAAAGUUUGCUGUCAGACUUCUCAUUGAGACAGGACACAAGGUGAACAGUACGCCACUUAAUUUUCUUAACCAUUGUUAACAUGGAGCAAAGAUGUCUACUUUAUGGCUGAAAAUAAAAAGAACUUGUCUCCACAACCUCCUGUUGAAAGUGUUUCACACGCUUACUGUACCUACAGUCCUUCCAGAAAGUUCUGUCCUC